rnacentral:misc_RNA from 1 species
GUAGGUGAACCUGCGGAGGGAUCAUUACAAGAACGCCCGGGCUUCGGCCUGGUUAUUCAUAACCCUUUGUUGUCCGACUCUGUUGCCUCCGGGGUGAUUUUGUUUUUGGGCGGGGGCUCCGGGUGGACACUUCAAACUCUUGCGUAACUUUGCAGUCUGAGUAAACUUAAUUAAUAAAUUAAAACUUUUAACAACGGAUCUCUUGGUUCUG